rnacentral:sRNA from 1 species
ACCAGGUGUGGUGGCACAUGCCUGUAAUCCCAGCAGCUCAGGAGGCUGAGACAGGAUGAUCACAAGUUAAACCAACCUCAGCAACAGCAAGGUGCUAAGGAAUUCAGUGAGACCCUGUCUCUA